rnacentral:rRNA from 1 species
GCGUGAGUGAUGAAGGCCCUAGGGUUGUAAAGCUCUUUCACCGGAGAAGAUAAUGACGGUAUCCGGAGAAGAAGCCCCGGCUAACUUCGUGCCAGCAGCCGCGGUAAUACGAAGGGGGCUAGCGUUGUUCGGAAUUACUGGGCGUAAAGCGCACGUAGGCGGAUCGAUCAGUCAGGGGUGAAAUCCCAGGGCUCAACCCUGGAACUGCCUUUGAUACUGUCGAUCUGGAGUAUGGAAGAGGUGAGUGGAAUUCCGAGUGUAGAGGUGAAAUUCGU